AGCCCCGUGGUGUAGCGGUCAAGCAUGGCGGGUUUUGGCCUCGCCGACCCAGGUUCAAAUCCUGGCGGGGCUACCA
rnacentral:tRNA from 1 species